ensembl:lncRNA
GGAAGAAGAAGCGGCGGCGGUGGACGCCGAAGCGAACCGGGGCGCCGCCCUCCAUCCAUCUUUGAACAAAUAUUUCUUGAGCACGUUCAACACUUGGUCACACUCAGUGCUUUUCCAGGAAGUGUAUGACUUUUAAGAAUGAAGAAAGAGUCUUUUCUAAGAGACAUGUGUAUCUAGCUGUGUGACCUGAGCGUGUUGUCAUCAUCUUUCUGGACCUGAGACCACACUUCUGCGAGGAGGCGACUGUCUAGAUCCUGGCGUAGACCCACCACGCCCUGAUGUCCUGACCACCUCUGCACAGUCAGAGAAACAGUGUCCGGUGUUGACCAAGAGUCCAUGGAACAAAAACGGCUGGAUCAGGAUGAGCCCUGCGCCCCGCAUGGUGGAUAGGACCGCAGAUGAAGCAACUGUUUCUUCAUCCCAUUUGCAGAGAUAGCAGCCUGGUUUGGAUCCUGAAAAAAUGGUCCCUUCUCGAGGAGCACAAUUCCAAGCCACCCUUCAGAGGUGUGUCUCUCUUCACUUGGGACUUGCCAUUUUCUUUUAAGGUGCUUUGGCCCCUGGUAAAGUUGAUUUAAAAUUUGGUGAAAAUGGUAUUUUUGACCUGGAAUGAACCAU